AUUCUACUCCCUCCGUUUCACAAUACAUGCCUUCUAUUUGUCAAUAUAUAUAUAUAUAUAUAUAUGUAUCUAGACAUGUUUUAGUAUAUAGGUACAUCCAUUUUUGGACAAAUGGAAGUCAAGUAUUUUGGAACGGAGGGAGUACACA
rfam:Triticum aestivum genome assembly, contig: Triticum_aestivum_CS42_TGACv1_scaffold_593516_7BS